AAAAACGGUUCGUCAAAACCAUCCCUUCAUUCCCACCCACGACCGCAGAACGCCCGACGUCCCUCUCCCUGUCUCCCAUCUGCACGCCGCCCCGCCCAACCCAACCUCCAGCUUUCCCACACCACUGCUCGAGCCCUAGGACGCUGCCACAAAGAAGAGGGACAGGAGAGGAUAGCUGAGGGUUUAAGCGAGGAGAGAACAGAGCGAAUCGAAGGACAGAGAUUCAGAGAGAGAGAGGCGGAGGUUUUUCUCCAUCUUCGUCGUCCCCCGAUCGAUCCAGGAGGGAACCGCAAGGCUUUCAGCAAUCGUCUACCAUGAGUGGAUGGCUUGUUCCCGCCCGGCGACCUGCCUGAGGAUCAGAUCGAUGGCCCGGGCCGCCAGAUCGAUGGGCGAAGGGGCGUGAUGAAGACACCAAAGGUAGCAACGACGGUGGCCGGAUCAAAGCACAGUGACGGAGGAGCUGAAGGACAGGCUGCUCCCAAGCCACCAUUAUCAGGGCUAUACAUAUGAAUGAAGCUGGCUCACAUGAGGUUGCAGUUCAGAGCCUAGAUUUCACGGACGAAGGGCACGGGCGCAAGAAGCUGACUACGCUCGUUGCGCAUCGGUGCGUGGAGAUGGAGGUAGGGUCCUCUUGGUGGUGAUGAUUGACGAGCACGGAGGAAGGGGGCGUGGUGGUGGAGGCAAGGGCGGUGGUUGCUGAUCGAAUGUGCCUGCCCGUUGCCGCCUGCUCUGAGUUGUACUGCGGCCGUGCUAUGCAAGCACCUCAGGUUUCAGUGGGGUGCUAGAGAAGGUUCCUUAUGUGAUGAACCAAUUAGGAGUGUGAAGUUCAAGAUCUUUAAUGAAUAAAUGCAAUCACUCCAGAACCAUACCGUGGUGGUGAUCAAAUAAUCCCAGAGCCCGCCGGGUUGUCUACUCAGCCUUGCCUGAUGGCUAAUCCCCGUCUUAUGGAGCCUGUUUAUUAUGUUGAGGUUAGUCAAGGACUCCUUGCUCUUGAAAAUAGACUUACCAUUGCUAAUGGCUGUAACGACGUGUACAUGAGAUAAAUCCUAACUCCAUUGCUAAGGAAGAUUCUUCUAAGUUGAUCAGGUUUCUACAGUCAUUUUAGUAUUACCUUUUGGAAGAACGGUAAAGCUAGAACUGUCUGCUAAUAUUUCCUUGCAGUGGUUACCUCUUAGUAUUUUGGCAAUCAGGUUGUGGAAUAGGUUCACCCUCAUAUUAAUGUAGGUUCCAGUUAAAGGAAUCAUGUGAAUCGUAGGUUUAUAUAUUCACAAAUGGACCUAUAUACUUUUGAUGUGAAUAACUAAAGGAAUAUAUUCCUUCUUUUAAUUAGUGAUAUUCAGUUUGGUGAGGUUUACCAAUAAAAUGAAAUGCCCAACAACUGUUCUUUUAUACUGCGUCUUGCAUUCUGAAACUUAUGUUUAGCGCCUAUGUAAGGAGAGUGCCAGCCACUGAGGCCAGUGAAUUAAGGGUGUGGGUCGAGUGGCACAAUGAGUUAGAUAAAUAUGCAUAGUUGCAAGAUUGGUCUGUAAAAAGGAGGAUAGUUUCUUGAAUGGAUUAAGGUUAGGGAGGUUUCCAUCAUGUACUACAGCAUUAUAAUGGUAGCCAACUUUGGGACACACAUAACAUAGUUGAAGCUAUGUCUAUGGGACUCAUAGAAGAGUUAGUUCCUACUCCUGAACUAGCUCAUGACUGGUCGUACUCUUAAACUAGCUCACGACUGCAUAAAAAAUUUCUCAUGUAAAUUCUUAGAAUUUUUGGAAAAAUCUAUUAACCAUUUGAUACCUUUUCUGCUACUUUUUUGACAUGUUUCUAUCUUUCAAUUUCUCGGAGAUGCUUUGAUAAACUGUGUAGGUGCUUUAUUACCUGUACAGUUGUGUAGUGAAUGGAUGUCGCUGUACUGCAAAGGCAUUUUGCACAUCCGUGCUUGUGAAGACAAUCUGAUGUCCUUCCAUAUAUUGUUCUGGAGGAUGCAGUCUUUUGAACAUCCAGCAUCCCUCGCCACUGAUUCCGCUCAAUUUGACAGCUUCUACUGAAAAUUAAUCACGACAACCAUGACCAUGAUGAUAUACCUCCAGGAAUUUUCAUUGACCUGGGCUUUAGUCUGUGAUGUGGAAAUACACUAUAUUGCUUUGCAACGUAGCAAGGUAAAUAUAAGCUGAUUUGUAUCAUCUUACAUACUUUUUCUUAUCUACUAUUCUAAUUUGGAGUCCACUGGAAGUACUGUAGUAUAUUUAGUUGAUGCAUAGGUCCACAUGUUGUUGUAGUGUAUGACUAUAUAGUUGCCAAAACAACUCAAAUUCUCCAUGUGUGUCGCACUUAUUCAAAUAUUCUCAAAUUACUAUUACUGAAGUGCCAUACUGUAGUAGAUCUCUCAUAUAGUCAUGUCAUAUUUACUGCAUGGUUGACCUUGUAUGUUAUGUUCAACAAUAGAUGGAGAAAGAUGAAUCUCUGUAGGUUGUUGCAGGCUAACUUUUUGAAACAUUGAUUAUUUGGCAUCAGUUGUUGAUGUAUUGUCUGAAAUUUGGUUAUCCUGGAUCCAAACAAAACUACACCUGGUUCCAGUAGGUCAGGUUUCUUUGCAUUUUCUGUGCGUUCCAUUCAGAUGCGUCUUUUUUAGCUAUCAUUUCUGCUUGGGUCACCCUUAUUUGCUUUGGAAGAUACAACAAAGAAACAACUUUUGUUGAGUUUCCGUUGAUAUAAUCCAGGAGAUCCGAAGACACAAGCUGGUGUCUUGAUGAAAUAGCAAAGAUUCACUUGUUUUCUAUUGAAACUUUUAGGCACUAACCAAUUAGAUAUGUCAGCCGUGGGUAUUUAAAUCACAACAUUGAAAAUAUACUUAUUUGCACAUCGCAAAAGCCUCCUUUUCAGCUUAUUUUUUCUAUGCACUGACUGUUGUGUUUAUACUUGGUCUACCUAUUGCAACCAUUUGUCAUAUUGGAAACACCAGUGCUCGAUGCUGGUCAAUAUCGAAAACACUGAUAAUUGUUUGGCCAAAGAUAUAACGGAGUUGGGAGGUCUCAAGGAGACAUCAAAGUUAUUUAGGGAGUUCUACCAUCUUAACUUGAUAUCUGCACAAUUUUUGUAAACAAAAUUGUUCCUAUAACAUGAAAAUUGGCAUGAACUAUCUACAGCUUUUAGAUAUAUGAUGUAUUUGAAAAAGCUUAGUACAUAAGAAAACAACGUAAUGCUAGCCUUGCCUCAUUGUGGGGUGUAACUCUGGAUUUGUGAUUUUAAGGCUUACAAUUGAAAUUUAUUGAUGAUCAUAAUAAUAGUGGUGUGAUAUUUUAUUGUACUGUGCAUCAAAGUUUCGAAAAAUAAUCAGCUAACAGGAAUAGCAGAGCUCCAACGAGUUCUGAGAUGCCAUUACAUUCUUUUAUUUUGUCUUCUGUUUUACAUUAUGCUUUGAUUUUUUUAGAUCUUUGACAUUAUAUAAUUUUUAAUUGGCUAAUGCAAUAGUUUUCUUUUCUCGAUAAAGGAAAUAUAUUAAUAAUGCAACAAUUUUCAUAUUAUAGUUGUGCUCGUUGCUGAACAUAUGCAUUGAAUAAACUUUGGUAUGUACAUUAAUUAAAUGCAGGUAUGUCGCAGUGCCUGAUGAGGGUUGUAAUUUCAACAAAGCCUACUUGUUCCAGUGGUAUGUUAUUCUGUAUUCAUCUUAUGACAUGGACUGCUCAUAUCCGAUCCCUCGCCGUGUGGUGCUCUUUUUCAGCCUUAAGGGGAUGCUACACGAUUGCCUUUUAAACUCAUCUGUCCAUGUAUUGGCAUCUUUGUUCUUUAGAUCGAUUUUUGGUCUGCAGAAUACUUCACUGAGUUUUGUGGUAUGUCUUGUUGAUCUAAUUCACUAAGCACGCAGAUAAUCCAUGGGCUAAUAAAUAAGGAUGAAGAGGUUCCAAACAAACAACUCGAUAUUACAGUGAUAAACAAUCUAAGAAGGUUCCUGUGAAGGUAGUUAAAUGAUAUGAACUAAAGCUCUGCCUUUUUAUUGAAAGUCCAAUCUGCAUUAUGUAGUAAAUGUCAGCGCUUAUUAUGUUAUAUUCAGACUUUUGCAGUGCUCUUUGCCAGUGAUGAUUUUGUGAGCUAGAGAAAUGUUUAAUUCCUUGGGCACUUAUUAUGUAUUUCCUAUUAUUAAAAAAUACAUUGUGCUCUAAUUUCUAGAUCCAGUAUGAAAGUGAUUUCACAACAGAUUUGUGUAUUUUAUGCAUUAAGUUUGUUAUGGUACGAUGUUCAGCUAUUCCUAAUAGAUUCAAGAGUACAAGAAGCAUCAAGGGUCGCGAGAUUAAAGAAGGUAUCACUGAAAUUUCGAAGAUCAGAGGAUUAGGGUGUGAGUGAUGUGAUGCUAUGCAGGGAAAUAUUUAUCUUUUCAUAUUUCCUUGGCUCUAUGGUUCGUAUGUGGUACUGCACCACCAUGGUUCUUCUAUGAGACUAACAGGCGUGAAGUCUCUAGAUGCAUGCUAGAGGAGAUACACAGAACACUUGGAGGGUUAGGAAGAGGAGAAGAUGUUGUUAUAUAAUGUGGAGUAUAUUGUUUAGUUGUAUAAUGUGAAGUAUUUUCUUUAGUUGUAUAAUGUGGAGUAUUUGGAAACUAUAAAUAUACUAGCAUAUAUUAUGACUGUGUGGGGUAUGCAAACCCUAAAAAAAUCAAAUCGCCUUUCUCCACGUCUUGCUUUCCCGUGGCAAGCGCACGGGCAUCUUAACUAGUUAAGAUAAAAACGAGAAGUAGAGGAGGGAGUGCA